rnacentral:lncRNA from 1 species
CGCCGGUCGUAGCCGGGAACUGGAAAGCGACCCGAGGGAGAGAGGGUAGGAGGGGCGCCUCAGAGACUCCGCCUUUGUCCCACGUCCCUGCGUGGGGGUUUGUAUUUCCCACUUUGGCCUCGACUUGGGCGGGGCUUCCCCUGGGCUUUGCUCCCUCUGGUGACCGUAAGGCGGGGCUGCCUGCUAGGUGGAGCGCCCAAAGGCGGCCUUUCUCCCUCCAAGUUUCCACGUCCUCACCAUCAGCCGUUACGACCCACGCUAGUGCUCUCUAGUAGCUAAGCAGCCGUCUGUCCGGCUCUGCGACCCCCAGGCUUCUGCUUUUCCCUUUCUACCCCAUCCCCUGCCUCGGAGGAAGCGCGCCCGAGCUGACUGGAGACGCGUCCCGAGAGCCCGGCCCAGCCCAGAUAAGCUUCAGAACAAAGGCACGCGGCAUGGGGGGUUGGGAGAUUUUGCGGGCGCCCCCGGGGACCGCAGCCUCUGCUCCCGGUCUCCAUGGAGGCGGUCGCCAUAGCAGCGGGAUGCGCCUCGCUUAGCCUGGCGGGGGUAGCAUGUGGGCGACUCCACAGCGCUGGGGAACCGGAGGCGUGGCCCCCGGGUCCUCAGAGGUUCUAGCCGUAUCUCUGAACACCCUAUUCCCAUUUCCGCUGACGUGAAUAAGUUCCCUAAAGUACCAGUGAAUGAACCAUCUAAAGCACGCAGCCUUUUCCUUCCAAAGUAACUAGGGGAGAGGGCUUUAACAACUGAGGGCCAGCUUCCUUUCUGAAGGGCUAAGGCCUUUGAAGAAUCUUAAAGAAGCCACUUCCCGCUGGAUCCCUGUGGCCCCUAACUUUCCUGGUCUCUGAUCCGUACACUUUUGAAAAAUAAUCUUUCUGAACUAUUGUUUCCAUCGAGUCCUCCCAUUCCUCUAAAAUGCUGCGUCCUCCGGGACUGUCUCCAGCUGAGCUUCAAACUUCAGCAUUUUGGGUGAUUUCGUGGGUGAGCUUUCUGGCCUUUGAGAACACAGUCUUCCAGCGCAGACUUUGGGAGUUUUCCACAUUGUGAUCUCAGCUCAUCCAUUCCUUCCCACUCGCUACCAAUUCCCACCCUUCCUUCCCAAUACCUACCCCCCACCCAUCCCUGCAAUGUAUUCUUUUUUUUUUUUUUCAACUUGGCAGACAGUGGGCCCAGAGUAGUCUGCAGAUGUAUUUUGUUUAACCUACAUGAGGCUUUAAAAAUAAUUCUUCCUCCCCUCCCCCUUCCUCCUUCCCUUUCUUGCAAAAGAAUCUGAUUUCCAGACUUCUUUUUGAAAUAAUAAUAUGGAGUCAUUACAGCCUGGCACCAAAUUCUGAUGCUGAGUGGUAGUUACCACUUUAGGACACAUCAAUUUACCAUAAAUCCUAUCAAUCUCUAUUUCUCAUGUUUAUUUUAACUCCUGGGUCUGUGCCGACAUUUGAUUUCAUGAAUCCUUCCCCUCCUAUGGUACUCUCCCACCUGAAAAGUCAUAUCUAGUAUAGACUCUCUCAAACACAGACUAGCUGCUCCCUACUGCCUGGGGCCAUUUCCUAAUUGUCAACUCCUUUCAACAAAUAUUUACUGAAUGUAUGAUGGGCAAGUUACUGUGCCAGCUUCUGUGAAAUGGAAGGUAUCCCCAGCUUAGUGGGGAGGGACACCACAUAAAAACAACUGUGGUCUCCUUUUCCUGCCAAACAAUCCUCAUACUUCCAGACCCUGAACUGUCUGGAUAACUUGGAGGAUCUACAAUACAGAUUUGCCCAUGCUGGAGAUACUACAUGCUCCUGGGGAAGGCCAUACAGUUCCAGAAAGUCUUCAGAAGAAAGCAAAACUUUUGGUGCCAGAAGGAAGUUAGGGUAGAAGUUACAUGGCUGCACCAUCUCUGCCCAAUGAGCCUGUGUACCAAAAGAGGCCCUGCCAACAGAGUGGUAUCCAGGUCUGAGGGCUUCCUGUGCAUAGAGUCUUAACUGAGCUAAAUGACUCUGAAAAGGAAAGCCACAGGCCCCUACCAGGCUCCCUGGAGAUGGAGACAGUAUGGGAAGGAACUAGGAGUAACUCCAGGUUAGAAGAACAGAUGAAGAACAUGGAAAACACCCACUCCAGCUCCAAAUAGUAAUUCUGGAUUAUGGGAGGGGGGAAUCAAACCCAGGGCCUCACACAUGCUAGACAAGUAUUCUAUCACUGUUCACUGUUAUGGUUUAGAUAUUAGGUAUCCUCCAAAAGCUCAUGUGUGAGACAAUGCAAGAGAAUUUAGAGAUUAAAUGGUUGGAACAUGUGAGGUUUAACCUAAUCAGUUAAUUAAUCCCCUGAUAGGAUUAACUUGGGGGUGACUGUAGGCAGAUAGGUUGUGGCUUAAGGAGGUGGGCCCCUGGGGAUGUGCCUUUGUAAUUUUAUCUCUGCUUCCUGGUGCCAUGUUCCCAGCUGCUUUCCUUUGCCACACACUUCCAUCACGGUGUUCUGCCUCAUCCCAAGCUCUGAAGAAUUGAAUAAAUCAUCUAUGGACUAAGACCUCUGAAACUGUGAGCAUCAAAUAAAUUUUCCUCCUCUAAAAUUGUUCUUGUCAGGUCUUUUGGUCACAGAACAAAAAAGCUGACUAAAAC